GUCAGGGUGCCCUCCACACCCCACCCAGUGAGCCAUCUGUUGGUUUUCUUUCAGCUUUUAAAUUUUUCAUAUAUUAAUGUCAUAUAUUUUGAAACAAAAUUUGGUCAUUAUGUACAAAAAAUUCUUUUCUAAUUUCUCAUCACACCAGGCCUUGUCCCGGUGAGUACAGUCGACACCGUCUCCUAGAGAGGAGCCCGGUGCUUCCUGUGUGGGUGCUCCCCCACCUGUGAAGCCGUCUUCUCUCCUGGGAGCCUGGUUAGCUGUCAACAGCUUCUGGCGUAAAAUGCUGUUGAGUCUACUCUGACCUGGAAGGCUCCCCGAUUCCCCAACUCGUCCACCUCUGCGAUGCCUCCCUAGUUCCCGAGGCGUGUCUACACCGACCUGGGAUGUCUCCCUAAUUCUCUAAGUGUGUCUCCACUGACUUGAUAUGUCUCCCCAUUUCCCAGCUUUGGGGACAAGGAUGGGAUCCAAAGGAGAUUGCUGAUGACUUUGGGGACAACAAGAUAUGCAGGUGUUAGUAUCUGCUGAACCAUUUGACUUCUCUGUCUUUCUCGCCAUUUCCGAGGACCAUGGUUCCCAGUGACCCAGAUGGGACCUGCUGGGAUACCCACCCCACUUGCUCUGGAGCCUGCAGACAGGAUCCAGGGAAAACUGGCAGAAGUUGGCAAAGGGGAUUCGUCUUCAAAGAGAUUCAUGGAAAGAUUCUACCAAGCGCUCUUGAAUGCUGACACCACUGCCAAGUUACAAGGUGUCAAACCUUGGGUGCACGUUUCACAAGUGGAACGAUCUGCCCUCUGGUCCUGCAUUGAUGGCGGAGAAUCAAAACUAACUUGACCAGGAAGAGAAGCAGCUGACACCACGUGGUAGACUGCUUCCUCCAAUGACAUUGGAUCAAGAAACUGAUUUGGGACAUGAAGACCUUGGCUUCAGAGUGCGCUCCAAACUUUGGGUGUUAUUCUUCUCAUAGUCAUCACUGUAGUCUUCCCAAUGUGUUAUAAUUUCUCAAAGCUCUCAAAUAUAUGUUCACAAACACUGGCCCACCGACAGAUGACUUCACUGAGAUUGGAACACCAAAAGAAAAAGGAGGAAAAUGGUCAUCUACAAGAAUAUGUGACUUGCAAAUAUUACAUGGAGACCCAACAUAGAUGACAAAAGUGGUGACUGAGUAUCACUUUAGCCUUAGAUUUUGAUCACACCUCUCAGUAAGAUGAGAGUCUGCUCAAAAGGGGGAAGUGUUAAAGUAACCAGAUUAGGUCCAAGAUGGAGUCACUCAUGCUAAGCCCCACAUCAGCAAACCAAAACUUAAGUUUCUAUGGUUGACUCUCCCAAAAAAGGACGGCCUAGGUCGGCCAACUAGCACUUGCCUGCUCAGCAUAAGUUACCUGACUCGGCUCCAAAACUUCCCUUUGCUCCCUGUGAGGACAGUUACCCUGCUCUAACCAAUCAGCAAAUGCCCCGUAUAACUUCCUUGUUCCUGCUCACUUUGGUCUAUAAAAAUUUCUCACCUUGUACUGCUCUGUGGAGCUCCUUUCUAUCUGCCAGAUUACAUGCUGCCCAAUUCAUGAAUUGCUAAAUAAAAG
ensembl:lncRNA